CCUACGGGUGGCAGCAGUGGGGAAUAUUGGACAAUGGGCGAAAGCCUGAUCCAGCCAUGCCGCGUGUGUGAAGAAGGCCUUCGGGUUGUAAAGCACUUUCAGUGGGGAAGAAAGCCUUGGGGCUAAUACCCUCGAGGAAGGACAUCACCCACAGAAGAAGCACCGGCUAACUCCGUGCCAGCAGCCGCGGUAAUACGGAGGGUGCGAGCGUUAAUCGGAAUUACUGGGCGUAAAGCGCGCGUAGGCGGUCUGAUAAGCCGGUUGUGAAAGCCCCGGGCUCAACCUGGGAACGGCAUCCGGAACUGUCAGGCUAGAGUGCAGGAGAGGAAGGUAGAAUUCCCGGUGUAGCGGUGAAAUGCGUAGAGAUCGGGAGGAAUACCAGUGGCGAAGACGGCCUUCUGGACUGACACUGACGCUGAGGUGCGAAAGCGUGGGUAGCAAACAGGAUUAGAUACCCUUGUAGUC
rnacentral:rRNA from 1 species